UUAAAAACUGAUUCUAAGAGAAUUCAAGAGAAAAUUUGGAGGAGAAUGAGAAGCAGCUCACUUGCUGCUUUGCUUUUGAUUGUGGAUUGUGCGGGAAUUUACAAACUUCAUUAAUGAAAUUUUCAUUAUUCCCAAAAUAACUGAAUCAAAAAAAAUCCCAGCCUCACGGGGUGUUCUUCUCCUCUUUCAUUUGUUGCAGACACCAAGUUCGUUCUAUUGUUUCCUUUCGAAACCCUAACAACAAACCUCGCUAUUCUCUGCCGUCUUUCUUCUCUCCGCUCGUCGAUUCCUCGGCUUCCAAUGGAACUGAGCGUUGGUUUCGCGUGAAUCAGAGGAGGACUUUAGUUAAGGCCGCGAAUUGGAUUGAGCCCAAAUCUCCUUACGAAACUCUUGAAUUAGAAAGGGAUGCCGAUGAGGAGGAGAUAAAGGUUGCAUACAGAAGUUUGGCCAAAUAUUAUCAUCCAGAUGGUAACGAGGUUAGUAAAAAAAGGAACUGGAAAAACCACCUUAGCAAUUGGCGAUGGUGCAAAUGAUGUUGGGAUGAUACAAGAAGUUGACAUUGGAGUUGGUCAGAACCCCACCUUAACACUUGAUCAAGACUGCAACUGUUCAUGCCAAGCUUUGCAAGAGAGAGACCAUAAAACAUUUCCACAACUCGAAGAUAAGUUUCUAUUGGUGUACAAGAAAGUCAGGCUACAAACUAGGAAGCUGAAGACCACAUACAAGGCAUCAAGGCCCAACUUAUUUAUGUAACUUGGUCAUUUGAUGAUCAAGCUUUUAAGAGAAGUUAAAGUGAGGUUAUUCUUGGAUCUUUUUGGUAGAAACCUCUUUUUUGGUCCCUUUUUGUUAUUUUAUCGGAUAUUUUGUUAUUUGAACAUCUUUAA